CCUUCGGGGUACUCGAGCGGCGAACGGGUGAGUAACACGUGAGCAACCUGCCCUAGGCUUUGGGAUAACCCUCGGAAACGGGGGCUAAUACCGAAUACCACCUGGCCUCGCAUGAGGUUUGGUGGAAAGUUUUUCGGCCUGGGAUGGGCUCGCGGCCUAUCAGCUUGUUGGUGGGGUGAUGGCCUACCAAGGCGACCACGGGUAGCCGGCCUGAAAGGGCGACCGGCCACACUGGGACUGAAACACGGCCCAGACUCCUACGGGAGGCAGCAGUGGGGAAUAUUGCACAAUGGGCGGAAGCCUGAUGCAACGACGCCGCGUGAGGGAUGACGGCCUUCGGGUUGUAAACCUCUUUCAGCAGGGACGAAGCGGAAGUGACGGUACCUGCAGAAGAAGCGCCGGCCAACUACGUGCCAGCAGCCGCGGUAAGACGUAGGGCGCGAGCGUUGUCCGGAUUUAUUGGGCGUAAAGAGCUCGUAGGCGGCUUGUCGCGUCGACCGUGAAAACUUGGGGCUCAACCCCAAGCCUGCGGUCGAUACGGGCAGGCUAGAGUUCGGUAGGGGAGACUGGAAUUCCUGGUGUAGCGGUGAAAUGCGCAGAUAUCAGGAGGAACACCGGUGGCGAAGGCGGGUCUCUGGGCCGAUACUGACGCUGAGGAGCGAAAGCGUGGGGAGCGAACAGGAUUAGAUACCCUGGUAGUCCACGCUGUAAACGUUGGGCGCUAGGUGUGGGGGGCCUCUCCGGUUUCCUGUGCCGCAGCUAACGCAUUAAGCGCCCCGCCUGGGGAGUACGGCCGCAAGGCUAAAACUCAAAGGAAUUGACGGGGGCCCGCACAAGCGGCGGAGCAUGCGGAUUAAUUCGAUGCAACGCGAAGAACCUUACCUGGGUUUGACAUGGCCGCAAAACUGUCAGAGAUGGCAGGUCCUUCGGGGGCGGUCACAGGUGGUGCAUGGCUGUCGUCAGCUCGUGUCGUGAGAUGUUGGGUUAAGUCCCGCAACGAGCGCAACCCUCGUUCGAUGUUGCCAGCGCGUUAUGGCGGGGACUCAUCGAAGACUGCCGGGGUCAACUCGGAGGAAGGUGGGGAUGACGUCAAGUCAUCAUGCCCCUUAUGUCCAGGGCUUCACGCAUGCUACAAUGGCCGGUACAAUGGGCUGCGAUACCGUGAGGUGGAGCGAAUCCCAAAAAGCCGGUCUCAGUUCGGAUCGGGGUCUGCAACUCGACCCCGUGAAGUCGGAGUCGCUAGUAAUCGCAGAUCAGCAACGCUGCGGUGAAUACGUUCCCGGGCCUUGUACACACCGCCCGUCACGUCACGAAAGUCGGCAACACCCGAAGCCGGUGGCCCAACCCCUUG
rnacentral:rRNA from 1 species